UUAAAGGAAUUGACGGGACCCGCACAAGCAGCGGAGCGUGUGGUUUAAUCGUUGCUACACGAAGAACCUUACCUGGGUUUGACAUAUAGGUUGUAGGGAACUGAAAAGGGACCGACCUUCGGGAGCCUAUACAGGUGUUGCAUGGCUGUCGUCAGCUCGUGUCGUGAGAUGUUCGGUUAAGUCCGCUAACGAGCGCAACCCUCGUCGUAUGUUAUAUGUGUCAUACGAGACUGCCGGUAAAAGCCGGAGGAAGGUGAGGAUGGUGUCAAGUCAGCAUGACCUUUAUAUCCAGGGCUACACACACGCUACAAUGGUCUGUACAAUGGGUAGCCAAGCCGCGAGGCGGAGCCAAUCCUGAAAGCAGGCCUCAGUUCAGAUUGCAGUCUGCAACUCGACUGCAUGAAGCCGGAGUUGCUAGUAACCGCAGGUCAGCAAUACUGCGGUGAAUACGUUCCCGGGUCUU
rnacentral:rRNA from 1 species